CACUGGAGCAGGAGGCCUGGCUCCCCGUCUUCUCAGGUGGGGACAGGGUGGAGUGUUGAAGAAACAGAGUUGAAGAAACACAGGGAGGCUGUGCCGGUGGACAGAUGCCAGGUCCUCCCACCAGGUGUCCUUCUUAUCACCAGCUUCAUGACCCAAGGCAGCCCUGCCCACGGCUGAGGGUCUGAGGAUAUGGGAAUUGGGGGUUCAGUGCGUGAGCCUGUGGAGCUGCUUUGCAGAGAGGCUGGGGUGGAACUGAGCUGUUUGACACACCAGCAAAUGACCAGCUAGGUGGAGGUCGGUGAAACAGGUGACAAGUGGGUGGUCAGCAGUGGCCUGCCUGCCCUGAGAGGUGAGGAGGUGAGGAGGUGAGGGGUGCUUCCUUCUCCCAUGAGAUCUCCUAGGAACCCCUGCCUGCAGCACCGGAGAGGUGAGUGUGGGCUUCUAGGAAAGGCAAUGGCUGAUGCGGGGGCAUUAAAAGAAACAGAGACGCACCCCCUCCAGCCUUGGGAGAGAAAGCAGACCUGGCCUAGACCUUCCUUGGGUUUCCCUCUUGAGGCCUGGGGGCUGGAGGUGGUUUGGUGUCAGGGGCAGGGUUGGUCACUUGGGGCUCCCAUCCAGGGAGGCUGGGCCAUCAGCCCUGCCGGCCUCAGGGCAGCUUGGCCACGGGGCUGUGCGGCCUCCCUCUGCUCUGGAGAGGCAGCUCACUCCAUGGGUCAGGAGGGGACUGAGGCCUCGAUGCCCAUCUGACCCCAGAGCCCACGCUUCCCCUGCUGCUGCUGUUGCCCAGGACUCUUGAGGUCACGUCCAGUGCAGCACCAGCUCUGACGGCUCAGUUCCAAGAGCUGCCCAGAGGCCUACAGAUAAGGAAGCUGCUGGUGUUUACUCCAGAGACAACACUCAAGAGAAGAAAGCCCUGGUCACUGGGGUCCAAGACCACCUCGGGCUUUCCCAAGACUCCACGUGGCUGGUGGGCAGUCCACCUUGGAGGUAAGGUGGGGUCCCUGGGGAGUCGGAAAAGGAGAGUGAGCUGGAAGCCUGUGUGUUAGCCCCUGGGCCAGUGGUGGUUUGCCACCCCCUGGUGGCCAUUCAAGGACGGAGAAGUGCCUCCCUAAGGAGGGACUUCCACAGCCUCUGCCUCCACCUGCCGUCCAGAGCCCCACCAGAGUGCCCUGAGCAGCCUGUGCACACCUAAGCCCCUGUGCUCCACAGGACCAAUCCACGUCAGCAGGAGACUGCUCCAAGGCCAGCCAGGGUUCCCACGUCAGCGUCCUCAUCUCUAUGGGGGGAAGACUGAGGUUCAGAGAAGAACCUCAUGUGGGGUGACCGCUAAGGGCCCUUCUCCGGCCACAGAGCUCUCCUCCUCCACCCCACCCGGCUGGCGAUGCUUGGUGCCCACACUUGGAGGUGAGAGGCGAGAGGUGUGUGUGUGGCCAAAUGCCAGGCUUUGAGAGCUGGCAGGGACUCUCCGGGAGGGCUGUGCCAUCAGGGCGCAGGGACACUGGUCAAUACAGUGCAUGUGUGCCACAGAAGCCCCCUCCCAUCCUGAUUCCCUUCUUCAGUUUCUUUUUCCUCUCAAGGGUGUUCAGAGAAAGCAAAGUGACCUGUGACCAUGGUGCUGAAUUCUCCACCCCCAGCUCCCAGCCUCUCCUUGAUUCUCAUGAGGGACGAGGAAUUGGCAGGUGUUGGGCAUCUCCCUGAAUAACAGGGAAACAGUGCUUCUGAGGUUGUCCUGCAGCUGCUGGGGCCUGAGUACAGGGCACAAUUAGUCCUGCAGGCUGGGACAGGAACAGCCUCCUGCCUUCCCAGAGCCAGGGCCCAGGCCCUGGCACUGACUCUGCCCCCACUCAGUGGGAGCAUCAAUUCAGCCUUCAGCUCUCAGGCCUGCUGUGUGACCAGCCCAGGAAAUGACCAGAGACCUCCAGAGUCGCACUGGGGGUUACGGAUUCAGGUUUCUGGGGAGAAGUGGGCUGCUGGGGGAAGAGGGGCGUCCACCUAGCCUUCAGCAGUUCCCAGUCUAGCCUUGAGCUAGGCUGGUGCCCAUGAGCUGCGUCACCUCCUGACUGUGUAAAGAAGGCAUCGCCCUUCCCACCUUAUAGACAAGAAAACCAAGUCUCAGGCAGGUGAAGACGUGUCCGGGGACCUCUGAGCAGGAGAAGAGCCACAGCGUGGGCCUAGGCAUUUCUCAACUGGCGGCAGUGGGUGGACAGGGGCUUGAGGUAGGAGGAGGUGCUGUGGGAGGUGGUGAGAAUCCAGGCAGGGUGCGAAGGCCGCCGGGAGAACGGGGACAGAAAGCAGAGGGAAGGGGCUCAGUGCCCGGCCUUCACCUGCUGCGGGUGCCGUGCUUGGUGGACAUGGUCCCAUCGUCCUAUCAGUCCUUAUGAGACCUGAGUGGUAGAAAUCUGUCCUAGUUGACAGCUGAGGGACACGAAACUCACAGAUUUAACAAUUCAUCCAAAGUCACUGAGAGAAGAAGGGGCCAAGCCAGGUGCAAACCGACCUGCUGAUGCCCACCAUGCAGCUUCCAGGCCAGGCACUGAAAGCCACCGCUGGGUGUGGACUGGCCCUGACCUCUGCUCCUCCUGGCAAGGGCCUCGCUGCACUGGGCCUGUGGCCCUCACCAUCAGCAAGCAGGUAGUUAAUACCACCGUCCUGACCCGAUGCCGUCCCACGUGUGGGAGGCACUGCUCCCUGGGUGCCGCGCAGCGGGGCCUGGACACUAACCAUUGGCGGCAGGUGGAGAAGCAGGGAUGCCCCCCCAUCACGGCAGGCUGCGGCAGGACCCAGGGCAGCCCUGACAAAGGACCAGGUCUCCUCCAUGCCACACGUGGCUCUCUUCCUCCUUGAUUACCAAGAAUCUUCCUCCAGGGAAAAGUGAGGGGACAAACAUGAGAUCCUCGUCACCUCGCGGAAAGGCCCAGUCGUACGGAUCACAUGAUCUCAGCGUUUCUCAGCUGAGCUUUCCUUCCACUAGGAGAACCCGCUGGGGCAGGCCCCAGGACACAGGGAAACCUGGCUCUGUCCUUGUCUGCAAGGUGACUUCAGGACUGGGGAACGGCGAGGAGGUCCUGAUUCCCUCCGGGGGGUAGCAGGGGGCCUGGCUUGUUGGAGGAAUGAAGCAGGGGAGAAGGUCUAAGAGCGGCUGCAGGGGGUGCCAAGCCUUGCCCAAGAGGAGCAGUUUGCAGAAGCCCAGGGCUCUGGCCCCACAUAACACUGAAACCCUGCUCCCAUCCUGGCCCAGCCCAGCCUAGCCUUUCACUGAUCCUCCUGCCCCCAAAAUGUCUGUCAACAAGGUCACCCUCUUUCCCAGGCCUGAAGCUGGGAGAGCCGAAAUAAACA
rnacentral:lncRNA from 1 species